rnacentral:rRNA from 1 species
AUUGAACGCUGGCGGAAUGCUUUACACAUGCAAGUCGAACGGCAGCACGGACUUCGGUCUGGUGGCGAGUGGCGAACGGGUGAGUAAUGUAUCGGAACGUGCCCAGUCGUGGGGGAUAACGUAGUGAAAAUUACGCUAAUACCGCAUACGAUCUAUGGAUGAAAGCGGGGGAUCGCAAGACCUCGCGCGAUUGGAGCGGCUGAUAUCAGAUUAGGUAGUUGGUGGGGUAAAGGCCCACCAAGCCAACGAUCUGUAGCUGGUCUGAGAGGACGACCAGCCACACUGGAACUGAGACACGGUCCAGACUCCUACGGGAGGCAGCAGUGGGGAAUUUUGGACAAUGGGCGAAAGCCUGAUCCAGCCAUUCCGCGUGCAGGAUGAAGGCCCUCGGGUUGUAGACUGCUUUUGUACAGAACGAAAAGGUUUCUACUAAUACUAGGAGCUCAUGACGGUACUGUAAGAAUAAGCACCGGCUAACUACGUGCCAGCCGCCGCGGUAA